GAUGAACGCUGGCGGCGUGCCUAAUACAUGCAAGUCGAGCGAACGGACGAGAAGCUUGCUUCUCUGAUGUUAGCGGCGGACGGGUGAGUAACACGUGGAUAACCUACCUAUAAGACUGGGAUAACUUCGGGAAACCGGAGCUAAUACCGGAUAAUAUUUUGAACCGCAUGGUUCAAAAGUGAAAGACGGUCUUGCUGUCACUUAUAGAUGGAUCCGCGCUGCAUUUGCUAGUUGGUAAGGUAACGGCUUACCAAGGCAACGAUGCAUAGCCGACCUGAGAGGGUGAUCAGCCACACUGGAACUGAGACACGGUCCAGACUCCUACGGGAGGCAGCAGUAGGGAAUCUUCCGCAAUGGGCGAAAGCCUGACGGAGCAACGCCGCGUGAGUGAUGAAGGUCUUCGGAUCGUAAAACGCUGUUAUUAGGGAAGAACAUAUGUGUAAUUAACUGUGCACAUCUUGACGGUACCUAAUCAGAAAGCCACGGCUAACUACGUG
rnacentral:rRNA from 1 species